GAAAUUCCGGUUGAAAAAAUCUGCAAUUUUUUUAAAUGUUAUGACACCGGCGUCAAUAAACUUCAUCUUAAUCAAACAGCAAAGAAUUUUCUCGCACCAGUUGGUCUAAGACCGAAUAAAAUUAAUACAUUUACGUAUAUAAAAAUAAUACCAAUUAUGUGUUUCGUCCAUAUGCUUUGUUUUGGACAAAUUGGACAUAUAAUACACUAUUUAUGUAAUAAUCCGUUCUCAUUCUUUGAUGUGGCUGAUGACAUUGCAGUUAUAUUAACAACCGAAACAAUCACCUAUAUUUUCAUACAUUUCACAACAUUUUCCCCUGAAUUGGAUGAGAUUUGUAAAAAACUAGGCGAUUUUCAAGAUCCUGAUUUAGGAAGAGCGAGAAAUGUUGAAGCAUUGGACAAAUUAUUCACAAAAUACAUCUAUUUAUGUAUACUGAGUUUUGUGGUAACAUGUUUGAUUACAUUUGUAUUUUAUAUCACUGAUCAGUGCGAGCCGGAUGAAGUCAGUAAUUGUGGAUUUAUUUUUACGCCCUAUUUGCCUUAUAUUGAUAUUUAUAAUCAGCCAUGGCGAUCAAUUGCGUUGGUUUGUCAAUGUCUUAGUUCUUAUACAGCAGGGGCAAUUGCCAUGUGUAAUAUUUCGCAGUUUGUAUUCCUUAAUGAAGUGUUAAUUCUAAGGUAUAGUCAUUUGGAGAGUAUUGUUCAACGCAUUCCCAAGGUUAAAAAGUGGGAAAGACGUGCGUUAAUUGGAAGAAUUGUGCGAUAUCACAAUAUUUUAAUGGAAAUAAACGUAAAGUCUAACCAUGCAAUUGGAAAAGCAUAUGCCUUACAUUUGUGUGUUACACCUAUAAAUAUGAGUGUGAUUGCAUUUCAACUACUGAGUA